GAGUCUCCUAGACUUGAAAGACCC
rnacentral:piRNA from 1 species